AAUAUUGAACGGGGGGAAAUCCGGAAACAAUAAUCAAAACAUUGUCCUUGUCAAUGGAAUACGUAAUAGUUAAUUAAUUUGAACAAAUUUAUAUAUAGAAAAAACGCACAGGAGACGUGUGAAUAAUAAUAAAGGAGUAAUUUUUAUUCAAUAUGAAAUCAGCGAGAAAGAAAAUAAUAAAUCAUAAUGCUGUUUUUAAACAGCGUACAAAAACAGAUGACAAUGAUGAACUCUCGUUUGAAUUAAUAAUUUCAACAAGAAAAUCUGGUCAAUUAGAUAUGUCAGGUCGUGGUCUAGCUACAGUACCUGAAAAAUUAUGGACUAUUAAUGAACUAACAAAAGAGGAAUUAGAUAAUCUUCGCACGGAAAUUGAUUUUGAACAGAGAAAAGAUUGUUGGUGGGAACAGGAACCAUUUAGAAUUUUAGAUUUAAGUUCCAAUAGUCUUUGUUCAAUUGAUUCGCGUAUAAAAAAUUUAUUGGAUCUCACACUUCUUGACCUUCAUGAUAAUUUAUUAGAAACUUUACCGUCUGAAAUAGAAAAUUUGAACAAUUUAAAGAGAUUAAAUCUUUCUUUUAAUAAAAUAAAAAUUCUUCCAUUAGAAUUUUACAAACUCAUUGAAUUACGAAAAUUAGAUUUAAAGAAUAAUAUUCUCGUGGAAUUAAAUUCUGCGAUUGGUGAUUUAAUUAUGCUCGAGAGUUUGAAUCUUUCGAGUAACAACCUAACUGAAUUACCUAUUGGAACUGGUUAUUUGGUGCGAUUAGUUUCUCUUGACUUGAGUCACAAUAUGCUCACUGAAUUGCCACCUGAUAUAACGAACAUGCGAGCGUUAAAAAAAUUGGAUGCAAGUUUCAAUCAUUUGGAAACAUUACCGCCUCUUGGUGAAUUGAGAAAAGUUGAGGCUCUAUUAUUUGGUUCGAAUAAUUUAAAAAUAUUUCCUGAUGUUAAUGGUUGUUCUUCAUUACGAGAACUUCAUCUCACAAAUAAUAAUAUACCGGAAAUUGAUAUUUUGAGUUUGGAAGGAAUGGGUCAAUUAAAAUCACUUUUACUCGGAGGCAAUAAAAUUGAAAUAAUUCCAGAAGAAAUGAUUCAGCUUAUAAAUUUGGAACAACUUGAUCUUUCACACAAUAAUAUAUCUUCAAUUCCAAAUUGUAUCGGCAUAAUGCCAAAUUUACAUAAUUUCAUUGUGGAAGGAAAUAAAUUGGAAAAUAUUAGACGUGACAUUGUCCAAUUAGGCACACCUCGAAUAUUACGUCAUUUACGACAAAGCACAAACGCAAGUAAUAUUGAAAUUCGAGAUUGUUCGUCGCCACUUUAUGAGGAUGAAAAUUUUCCCGACAAAUAUGCAAUGAAAAAUGCAAGACUACUGAGUCUCAUUGGUAAGAAUUUGUCAAAUAUUCCCGAUAUUGUUUUUAAUGAUGCAAAAGAAGCUGAAGUAACGUGUGUCGAUUUAAGUCGAAAUAGAUUACAUGAAUUAUCAGAUGCAUUAUCGCAAAUAAUAACUGUUACCGAUUUAAAAUUAUCAUGUAAUCAAUUAAUUGAAAUACCAAAUUGGAUUGGUGUACUUGAAUAUUUACAAUUUUUGGAUUUAAAUAGAAAUCGUUUGUGUAAUUUGCCGAUGAAUAUUGGACAACUUGAACGUUUACGAGAAUUAAAUAUAUCAUUUAACAAAUUCACAGAAAUACCCGAAUGCAUUUAUGAAAUUUCUCAUUUGGAAAUACUUGCAGCAAACGAUAAUCAAAUUAAAAAUAUUGAUGUAAUUGGAUUAAGUAAAUUACGAAGACUCGCAAUUCUUGAUUUUUCUAAUAAUAAUAUUGGACAUGUUCCACCGGAAUUGGGAAAUUUAAUACAUCUCAGCUAUAGUAUUAUUCAUUUCAUAAUAUGAAAAAAAAAAAAAAACAAAACGAAAAGCUGUAUAAAUUUGCAUGAAUCAGUGAAAUUUUUUUCGUGCAGAUAUUUUUAUAUUCGUAUAAUAGAUAUAUACAUUUUUGUAUAUGUACAUAAGUGAGUUACGUAUUUAAUGUGCAUAUAUAUUAAACACUGCAUAUUAUAAAAUUGCUCACUUUUCCACUUGCUUUACCAAGUAUAUUGCAUUUUGUGCGCAUGAUAUAUCCCAUAAAAUAUAUUCAGAAUUCAAUAUUUAUACUGGAACAUUUAUGAUGCCGUUUUUCAUCGACAUUUCCCAUUUUAUUUUCGUAUUAUCAUCAUAAUCAUCAUCUUAUAAUUCAAUAAUUACACAAAAAAAUAAGAACAUUAUCGCUUACUGGAAAUUGUUUUAAACAACCGAGACAAGCAACUUUACUUAAGGGAACAGAAGAUAUACUUUCUUAUCUUCGUGACAAAAUUCCACGAACGUAAUUAAUGUGAUUUUUUAAAUAAAUAAUUCAAUUUUUUUCGUCCCAUCAAAAAUAUAAAUUACUUUAUAAAAAAUAUUAUAAAUAAUAUUUAAAUAUAAAAGAAUAUAAAAUUUAAUAUCAAUAGAAAAUAAAAUAUAAAUAAGUAUUAUGUAAAUUACCAAAAGUAUUAAUUAUAUUAAUAUAGGUAAUAAUUUAUCACUUAUUGGUAAAUAAUAAAUAUAAAAUGAAAAAUACUAUUGUUCGUAUUGAUAUUUUACAAUUUUUCAUUUUAUAUCUAUCAAAUAUUUAUGCUAUUAAAAUUGAUAUAGUGUUAAAAUUAAAAAUGUUAGGGAAUUCUCUAUAACUUUAAAAAUUGUUUCUAAAAUACAAUUUACAAGAAGUGGAUCAUUUAAAACUUUUUUUUUUUUUUUUGAUGGGACAUAAAAAUUAAAUUACUUAAUUCUAAAUUUACUAUCGAUUUUCAAAACAAAUUCUUUUGAAUUUCUUUUCAAAAGAAAUUGUGAAACAGUAUUUUUAUAAAAAAAAACUCCCACCAUAUGCUCAAAUGAAAUUUAAAAAGAAAUAUUUUGUUUUGAUUAAAGAAAAAAUUGGAAAUUUUAAUUUUAUGAUUACAUAGUAUUAUAUUUUUAUUUUCAAUUAUAUUAUAUUUCAAUAUCAAAUAUUAAUUUAGAUUAUUAAAUUUUU